rnacentral:rRNA from 1 species
UACGUAGGGACCAAGCGUUGUUCGGAUUUACUGGGCGUAAAGGGCGCGUAGGCGGCAAUUCAAGUCAGCUGUGAAAUCUCCGGGCUUAACUCGGAACGGUCAGCUGAUACUGCUUGCUAGAGUGCAGAAGGGGCAAUCGGAAUUCUUGGUGUAGCGGUGAAAUGCGUAGAUAUCAAAGAGGAACACCCUGGAGGUGAAGACGGGUUGCUGGGCUGACACG